UUGAAAAAACUAUUUUUCGUAGGAGGGUCAUAAAAGUUUGAGAUUGAGAGAACGUUGAGGUCCGUGUUGUAAUUUUAGUUCUUUUGUAAAUCUACAUGUAAGUUAAUGCUAGUAAUAAGGGAGAAGUGAGAAAGUCUUCUAAGAGAUUCUCAGUAGAAAGUUUUGGAAAUAUGGGAAAGUUUUAUCCAGAUAACAAGUUAGAGGUGGACAAUGGCGUGCCAGCAGCCGCGGUUAUACUUCAGCCUCAAAUUAAAAUUCAUUUACAAAAUUGUGUUUAGCGGACCUUUUUAUGGAGUUUCGGAAAAGUUUGAUCAGACUUACUUAAAUUGUAGGGUAGAAUUUUUAUUUAGGGAAGAGUAAUCAAUAAUAUUAAACAUGGGAUUUAUUUUUUGGACCAGGAUUAGAUACCCUGUUACUUUUAAUGAAGAAAUUUUGGAGUAGUAAUGUUAAUGAAAUUUAACGGAUUUGGCGGCAAGAUAGCCCCUUAGAGGAACCUGCCCUGUAAACGAUGAACCACGAGGGACUCUACUUUCUUUGGUAGUCAGUUUGUAUAUCGCUGUUGUCAGUUAGAUUCUUGAGAAUAUUUUCGUCUAUGAAAAGUUCAUUGACUUCAAGUAAAGGUGCAGCUUAUAAGGAAGAUAGAGGUGGGUUACAUUUAUGAGAAUAAAACGGAAAGGAUGGAUGAAACAAUCCUUGAAGGUGGAUUUAACUGUAAAACUUAAGUAGGUUUGGUGAGAGCUCUAUCUUGUGUACACACCGCCCGUCGCUCUCUUUUCAAAACGAGAUAAGUCGUAACAAGGUAAGUGUAAUGGAAAUUGUACUUGA
rnacentral:rRNA from 1 species